CGGGGUGCAGCAGGCGCGAAAACUCUCCAAUGCGCGAAAGCGUGAGAGGGGGAUACACAGUGCUUAUGCUUUUGGUGUAGGCUUUUGUCGAGUGUAGAUAGCUCGGCGAAUAAGUGGUGGGUAAGACUGGUGCCAGCCGCCGCGGUAACACCAGCGCCACAAGUGGUCAUCGCGUUUAUUGGGCCUAAAGCGUUCGUCGCCGGCUUGGUAAAUCUCUUGUGAAAUUGUUCGGCUUAACCGAACAGCGUGCAGGGGACACUGCCAGGCUCGAGACCGGGAGGGGUCAGAGGUAUUCCAUAGGGACCGGUAAAAUGGGAUAAUCUAUGGAGGACCACCGAUGGCGAAGGCAUCUGACCAGAACGGAUCUGACGGUGAGGAACGAAAGCCAGGGGAGCGAACCGGAUUAGAUACCCGAGUAGUCCUGGCCGUAAACGCUGUGAGCUAGGUGUCGCGCAUCUCACGUAGAUGCGCGGUGUCGAAACGAAGGUGCUAAGCUCACCGCCUGGGAAGUACGGUCGCAAGACUGAAACUUUAAGGAAUUGGCGGGGGAGCAC
rnacentral:rRNA from 1 species